rnacentral:rRNA from 1 species
AUUGAACGCUGGCGGCAUGCCUUACACAUGCAAGUCGAACGGCAGCACGGGUGCUUGCACCUGGUGGCGAGUGGCGAACGGAUGAGUAAUACAUCGGAACAUGUCCUGUAGUGGGGGAUAGCCCGGCGAAAGCCGGAUUAAUACCGCAUACGAUCUACGGAUGAAAGCGGGGGACCUUCGGGCCUCGCGCUAUAGGGUUGGCCGAUGGCUGAUUAGCGAGUUGGUGGGGUAAAGGCCUACCAAGGCGACGAUCAGUAGCUGGUCUGAGAGGACGACCAGCCACACUGGGACUGAGACACGGCCCAGACUCCUACGGGAGGCAGCAGUGGGGAAUUUUGGACAAUGGGCGAAAGCCUGAUCCAGCAAUGCCGCGUGUGUGAAGAAGGCCUUCGGGUUGUAAAGCACUUUUGUCCGGAAAGAAAUCCUUGGCCCUAAUACGGUCGGGGGAUGACGGUACCGGAAGAAUAAGCACCGGCUAACUACGUG